rnacentral:rRNA from 1 species
CUGGUGGCGUGCCUUAUACAUGCAAGUCGAGCGAGGACGCAGCAAUGCGAGCCGAGCGGCGAACGGGUGAGUAACGCGUGAGCAACCUGCCCCGAAGUCCGGAAUAGCCCUUCCAACGGAGGAUUAAUGCCGGAUGACGAGGAGCACCGAGUGGUGCUUUUUCCAAAGCCUAGGCGCUUCGGAGGGGCUCGCGUCCGAUUAGCUAGUUGGCGGGGCAGCGGCCCACCAAGGCGACGAUCGGUAGCCGGCCUGAGAGGGCGAACGGCCACAAUGGGACUGAGAUACGGCCCAUACUCCUACGGGAGGCAGCAGUAGGGAAUAUUGCGCAAUGGGGGGAACCCUGACGCAGCAACGCCACGUUGUGGGACGACGCCUUUCGGGGUGUAAACCACUGUCAGCGGGGACUAGCCCGCGGAGACAAUCCGCGCCGAAUGUACCCGCAGAGGAAGCACCGGCAAACUUCGUGCCAGCAGCGGC